GAAGGUAUUGCUCAGUGGUAGAUUGUGCACUUAGCAUGCAUGAGGUCCUGGGUUCAAUUCCCAGUACUUCCA
rnacentral:tRNA from 1 species